rnacentral:lncRNA from 1 species
GGACUCUGAAGCAUGGGACAGAGACAGAUACAACUCAGGUUCUGGCAGAACGCUUCCUUAGCCUGGGAUCCAGAUGACAGCAGAGCUUCUUGAGUGCUUCUCUAUGGACUUCUGUAAGAAAGAAAAACAAGCCCCAUGAUUUUGUGUGUCUGGCAU